rnacentral:rRNA from 1 species
AUUGAACGCUGGCGGCAUGCCUUACACAUGCAAGUCGAACGGUAGAGUAGCAAUACUCGAGAGUGGCGAACGGGUGAGUAAUAUAUCGGAACGUGCCCGGUCGUGGGGGAUAACGUAGCGAAAGCUACGCUAAUACCGCAUACGAUCUACGGAUGAAAGCGGGGGAUCGCAAGACCUCGCGCGAUUGGAGCGGCCGAUAUCAGAUUAGGUAGUUGGUGAGGUAAAGGCGUCACCAAGCCGACGAUCUGUAGCUGGUCUGAGAGGACGGACCCAGCCACACUGGGACUGAGACACGGCCCAGACUCCUACGGGAGGCAGCAGUGGGGAAUUUUGGACAAUGGGCGCAAGCCUGAUCCAGCAAUGCCGCGUGCAGGAUGAAGGCC